rnacentral:rRNA from 1 species
UACGUAGGGUGCGAGCGUUAAUCGGAAUUACUGGGCGUAAAGCGUGCGCAGGCGGUGAUGUAAGACAGUUGUGAAAUCCCCGGGCUCAACCUGGGAACUGCAUCUGUGACUGCAUCGCUGGAGUGCGGCAGAGGGGGAUGGAAUUCCGCGUGUAGCAGUGAAAUGCGUAGAUAUCAGGAGGAAUACCGAUGGCGAAGGCAGGUCUCUGGGCUGACACUGACGCUCAUGCACGAAAGCGUGGGGAGCAAACAGG